rnacentral:rRNA from 1 species
CGUGCCUAAUACAUGCAAGUCGAGCGAACGGACGAGAAGCUUGCUUCUCUGAUUAGCGGCGGACGGGUGAGUAACACGUGGAUAACCUACCUAUAAGACUGUGGAUAACUUCGGGAAACCGGGCUAAUACCGGAUAAUAUUUUGAACCGCAUGGUUCAAAAGUGAAAGACGGUCUUGCUGUCACUUAUAGAUGGUCCGCGCUGCAUGGGCUAGUUGGUAAGGUAACGGCUUACCAAGGUCAACGAUGCAUAGCCGACCUGAGAGGGUGAUCGGCCAAACUGGAACUGAGACACGGUCCAGACUCCUACUGGGAGCAGCAGUAGGGAAUCUUCCAAUGGGCGAAAGCCUGACGGAGCAACGCCGCGUAGUGAUGAAGGUCUUCGGAUCGUAAAACUCUGUUUUAGGGAAGAACAUAUGUGUAAGUAACUGUGCACAUCUUGACGGUUACCUAAUCAGAAAGCCACGGCUAAUACGUGCCAGCAGCCGCGGUAAUACGUAGGUGGCAAGCGUUAUCCGGAAUUAUUGGCGUAAAGCGCGCUAGGCGGUUUUAAAAGUCUGAUGUGAAAGCCCACGGCUCAACCGUGGAGGGUCAUUGGAAACUGGAAAACUUGAGUGCAGAAGAGGAAAGUGGAAUUCCAUGUGUAGCGGUGAAAUGCAGAGAUAUGGAGGAACACCAGUGGCGAAGGCGACUUUCUGGUCUGUAACUGACGCUGAUGUGCGAAAGCGUGGGGACAAACAGGAUUAGAUACCCUGGUAGUCCACGCCGUAAACGAUGAGUGCUAAGUGUUAGGGGUUUCCGCCCCUUAGUGCUGCAGCUAACGCAUUAAGCACUCCGCCUGGGGAGUACGACCGCAAGGUUGAACUCAAAGGAAUUGACGGGGACCCGCACAAGGCGUGGAGCAUGUGGUUUAAUUCGAAGCAACGCGAAGAACCUUACCAAAUCUUGACAUCCUUUGACAACUCUAGAGAUAGAGCCUUCCCCUUCGGGGGACAAAGUGACAGUGGUGCAUGGUUGUCGUCAGCUCGAGCUGUGAGAUGUUGGGUUAAUCCCGCAACGAGCGCAACCUAAGCUUAGUUGCCAUCAUUAAGUCAAU